UAGGGAAUCUUCGGCAAUGGACGAAAGUCUGACCGAGCAACGCCGCGUGAGUGAAGAAGGUUUUCGGAUCGUAAAACUCUGUUGUUAGAGAAGAACAAGGACGUUAGUAACUGAACGUCCCCUGACGGUAUCUAACCAGAAAGCCACGGCUAACUACGUGCCAGCAGCCGCGGUAAUCCGUAGGUGGCAAGCGUUGUCCGGAUUUAUUGGGCGUAAAGCGAGCGCAGGCGGUUUCUUAAGUCUGAUGUGAAAGCCCCCGGCUCAACCGGGGGGGGUCAUUGGAACCUGAGAGACUUGAGUGCAGAAGAGGAGAGUGGAAUUCCAUGUGUAGCGGUGAAAUGCGUAGAUAUAUGGAGGAACACCAGUGGCGAAGGCGGCUCUCUGGUCUGUAACUGACGCUGAGGCUCGAAAGCGUGGGGAGCAAACAGG
rnacentral:rRNA from 1 species